rnacentral:rRNA from 1 species
GACGGUCCUACGGGGAGGCAGCAGUGGGGAAUAUUGCACAAUGGGCGAAAGCCUGAUGCAGCGACGCCGCGUGAGGGAUGACGGCCUUCGGGUUGUAAACCUCUUUCAGCAGGGAAGAAGCGAAAGUGACGGUACCUGCAGAAGAAGCGCCGGCUAACUACGUGCCAGCAGCCGCGGUAAUACGUAGGGCGCGAGCGUUGUCCGGAAUUAUUGGGCGUAAAGAGCUCGUAGGCGGCUUGUCGCGUCGGUUGUGAAAGCCCGGGGCUUAACCCCGGGUCUGCAGUCGAUACGGGCAGGCUAGAGUUCGGUAGGGGAGAUCGGAAUUCCUGGUGUAGCGGUGAAAUGCGCAGAUAUCAGGAGGAACACCGGUGGCGAAGGCGGAUCUCUGGGCCGAUACUGACGCUGAGGAGCGAAAGCGUGGGGAGCGAACAGGAUUAGAUACCCUGGUAGUCCACGCCGUAAACGGUGGGCACUAGGUGUGGGCGACAUUCCACGUCGUCCGUGCCGCAGCUAACGCAUUAAGGCCCCGC